GAUGAACGCUGGCGGCGUGCCUAACACAUGCAAGUCGAGCGAACAAACGAGGAUCUUGCUCGGCUGACGUGAGGGGCGGGCGGGUGAGUAACACGAGUAUACCCUACCGUUAAGACUGAGAUAACUUCGGGAGAGCUGAUAUAACACCGGAUCAUAUAGUGAACGGGAGGGUUCUAUAGUGAAAGAGGGUUUUGCUGUCACUUGUACGUGGAACCGAGCCGCAUUAGCUAGUUGGUAAGGUAACGGCUUACCAAGGCAACGAUGCGUAGCCGACCUGAGAGGGUGAUCAGCCACACUGGAACUGAGACACGGUCCAGACUCCUACGGGAGGCAGCAGUGGGGAAUCUUCCGCAAUGGGCGAAAGCCUGACGGAGCAAUGCCGCGUGAGUGAUGAAGGUCUUCGGAUCGUAAAACUCUGUUAUUAGGGAAGAACAAAUGUAUAAGUAACCAUGCACGUCUUGACGGUACCUAAUCAGAAAGCCCCGGCUAACUACGUG
rnacentral:rRNA from 1 species